GACGAACGCUGGCGGCGUGCCUAAUACAUGCAAGUCGAGCGAAGUUUUUCUGGUUCUUGCACUAGAAAAACUUAGCGGCGAACGGGUGAGUAACACGUAAAGAACCUGCCUCAUAGACUGGGACAACUAUUGGAAACGAUAGCUAAUACCGGAUAACAGUAUUUCUCGCUUGAGAUUUAUUUAAAAGUUGGUUAUGCUAACACUAUGAGAUUUCUUUGCGGUGCAUUAGCUAGUUGGUGGGGUAAAGGCCCACCAAGGCGACGAUGGAUAGCCGACCCGAGAGGGGGAUCGGCCACAAGGGGACUGAGAAACGGCACAGAAUCUGAGGGGAGGCAGAAGUAGGGACGCUUCGGAAAAGGGCGAAAGCCUGCCGGAGCAACGCAGGGUGAGUGAAGAAGGAUUUCGGUUCGUAAAGCUAUGUUGUUAGGGAAGAAUGGAUAUGUAGUAACUAUACAUGUAAGAGCCGGUACCGAUCAAGAAAGCCACGGUGAAUUACGG
rnacentral:rRNA from 1 species